rnacentral:RNase_P_RNA from 1 species
CAGAUAACGUCUGGCGGAGGCGACUCCAGGGAAAGUGCAACAGAAAUAUACCGCCGCUUAAUGCGGUAAGGGUGGAAAGGUGGUGUAAGAGACCACCGCCCUUCUGGUAACAGGAGGGGGCCAUGUAAACCCCAUCCGAAGCAAGACCGAACAGGGAGCAUAAGGCGGCCCGUCUGCUCCCGGGUAGGUCGCUUGAGCCUGCCGGCGACGGCAGGCCUAGAUAGAUGGCCAUUCAACGACAUAACCCGGCUUAUCGUCUUACUCAAAGC